UUUUUUAGAGUUCACUUUAUUCUGUGGUACAUACUCUAAAUCCAAUCCCAAAAACAUCCCCUGAAAUGCUUCAGUAACGGGAUAGGUGUAAGUCUCGGUGACUGGUGGAUGUACAGACAUACCAGAGGUUGUUAAAGCUAUAUGUUUUGUUUUAGUUUUUGCCUGGGUUUUCUGCUGAUCGGUAAUGCUUUGUUGAGCUUUAGCAGCAAAAGAGGGUUUGCUGAAGACAUUGCUACUCGGUUUACUGGGGUUGACAUCCGUGGAUAGAGAAAAUGGAUUGUUUGCGGAUGUAGCAUCUGAAAAGGGAUUCAGUCCUCUACUAGAUUCAGAAGUAAUCGCAAACGGGUUCACUUUUUUUUCCUUCGGUGAAGAUUUUUUUUCUUCAAGGUGAGAUAUAGCUUUUGGUGAUUUGACAGCCUCAAUGUCACUUUUUAGGGGAAGCCUCACUCCUCUGACACAAACUAUUGAAUUUGGAACACGUCGACACGAAGGAUUAUGACAACCCCAGACAUACAAAGCUCGUUCUUUGAGAUUAUCACCUUCCAACGGAGCAUAGCAUUGAAGAAGCAACCGACAUAAAUUUUUGCAAUUUCCACAUUUAAUUAUAUUGGGAUUCAGUGAACAUCCGUCAAAAAAUACUGGAAACCCUCCUAGAAAUGUGGAGUAUUCAUCUGGCUUAUCUUCUUGGGAAAUAGGGACGUCUGGAAAACCUAACCAAGCCUGAGUCUGAACCCAUUUUUGAGACAUGGUUUGAGUGUUCAAUUGCAAAGAGACCAC